rnacentral:lncRNA from 1 species
UAAGUAACAGAUCUAGAAAGGAAGACAUGAUGAUGUUGGGGCAGGAGCUGGAGAUGAAACGGUGGUGGUAGUUGUUUAAAACUGUUUAAGGAAAAUGUGCCUACGUAGGUUCUCUCCUCCCACCUCAACAGAAAAUGGCAGAUUAUAUUUUAGAGAAAUUAAACUAGUGAGCCCCAAACCUGGGGCCACUGGGAGUAGAGGUGGAGACACAAAUGACACAGUAAAGUAUCAGACUGGUGUAGAAGUAAUUGUGGGUUUUGCUAUUGAAAAUGACCAAAACCACAAUUACUUUUGCACCAACCUAAAUAGAAUACUGAAAACAGAAUAAUCUAGUGCAUGCCUGUAUAACGGUGGGACCUCAGCCCCAUUCCCAAUCUAGCUUCAGAAUAUCAGCAGCCAAGCUCAUACACUCCAGGCAGGACGACAGUGAAGGACCCUAAUUUGAAGAAUCUAAACCAUCUCAAAGAAAAGACCAAUAGAUACUAACAUUUAGAAGUUUGUAGGAAUAUGCUGGCUGUCUCCCCAAAUGCCCUACCUGCAGUGAAGCCCAAAAGAACCUUAACUUGCUUUUUGAUAUAUCACUGUUCAAUAUAAAGAACCAAGGUUCAGCAGACAUUUGAAAACGGAAGGUAAUGCUUCUGUGAAAUAACAGGGCACUAUUAAAAAGUAACAAUCAGAAAAAAAGAAAGUGUUCAGAAGUUAAAAAUAUGACAGCUGAAAUAAAAAUAAUUUCAUACAAGUGUUAAAGUCAAAGAAAAUCUCUCAAAGUAAAACCAAAAGAUAAGGAAAAGAGGAGAAAAUCAGAAGAUCAAUCCAUGAGUACUAAUAAUAUCUGAUAAUUACAGAAGGAGAGAAAAGAGAAAAUGGUGUGGCAGUAAUAAAGAGAAUUUAAAAAUUUACCAACUUGAAAACAAUCACUGAGUAUCCACUGCAAAUAAUGAAAAAAGACCCCAACAAGGCACAUCACAGUAAAAUAUCCAACUCCAGAAGAAAAGAUCUAGACCAGGGAGGAAAAUAACAUAUAAAAAAGCACCGCCUCAUCCAUAGAGUGUAUGUUCCAAAACUGUGGAUAGCACCAAACCCCAUUUAUACUGUUUUUCCCCUACACACUUAUCUAUGAUAAAGUUUAAUUUAUAAAUGGAGCACAGUGAGAGAUUAACAAUAACUAAUAAUAGAAUAAUUAAUUCUCUUGUGCUUUGGGGCCAUUAAGUCAAAUAAGGGUUGUUUGAACACUGUUAUACUGCAAGUCUAUCUGCUACCCUAGAUGGCUAUUAAGUGAUUAACAAGCAGGUAGUGUAUACAGUGUAGACAUGCCGGACAAUGGAAUGAUUCACAACCCAAAUAGGAAGGAGAGGGCCGGUGUGAAAUUUAAUCACACCACUAAAAACAGUGUAUAAUUUAAAACGUAUAAAUUAUUGGAUGGGUGUGGUGGCUCAUGUCUGUAAUCCCAGAACUUUGGGAGGCUGAGGUGGGAGGAUCGCUUGAGCUCAGGAGUUUGAGGCUAUGAGCAAUGAGCUACAAUUACACCACUGCACUCCAGCCCAGAAGACUGAGCAAGACCCUGUCUCUAAAAAACAAUCAUAAAAAAUAAACUGGUUUUUCAGAUUUUAAUAAGCAUAUUAAUGAGGCUUGCAUUCAUGAAACCUGAAUAUUUAGAAGGAUCUACUUUGAUUAGUUAAAAUAAGGCUGAUGGAAGUGUGUCAGUCAAUACGGGAAUAC